UUUGACGGACCGGCGAACGGGUGCGUAUCACGUGCCCAUUUUGCCCCAAAGACCGGGAUAGCCGGGGAAACCCGGAUUAUUCCCGGAUGAUCUCUUCGCAUCGCAUGUUGCGAUGAGCAAGGUUCAGGCGCUUCGGGAUGAGGUCCCGGCCCAUCAGCUUGUUGGUCAGGUAACGGCUCACCAAGGCAACGACGGGUAGCUGGUCUGAGAGGACGAUCAGCCACACUGGAACUGAGAUACGGUCCAGACUCCUACGGGAGGCAGCAGCAGGGAAUCUUGCGCAAUGGGCGAAAGCCUGACGCAGCGACGCCGCGUGGGGGAUGAAGGCCUUAGGGUUGUAAACCCCUUUCACGAGGGACGAAAAUGACGGUACCUGCAGAAGAAGCCCCGGCCAACUACGUGCCAGCAGCCGCGGUAACACGUAGGGGGCAAGCGUUGUCCGGAUUUAUUGGGCGUAAAGAGCUCGUAGGCGGUUGCGUAAGUCGGAUGUGAAAACUCAGGGCUCAACCCGGAGACGCCAUCCGAUACUGCGCUGACUAGAGUCCGGUAGAGGAGCAUGGAAUUCCUGGUGUAGCGGUGAAAUGCGCAGAUAUCAGGAGGAACACCAGUGGCGAAGGCGGUGCUCUGGGCCGGCACUGCCGCUGAGGAGCGAAAGCGUGGGUAGCGAACAGGAUUAGAUACCCUGGUAGUC
rnacentral:rRNA from 1 species